UUUUGGGCAAUGGGCGCAAGCCUGACCCAGCGACGCCGUGUGGGGGAUGAAGGCCUUCGGGUCGUAAACCCUUGUCAGGGGGGACGAAGCCCCACCGCAAGGUGGGGUGACGGUACCCCCAGAGGAAGCCCCGGCUAACUACGUGCCAGCAGCCGCGGUAAGACGUAGGGGGCGAGCGUUGUCCGGAUUUACUGGGCGUAAAGCGCGUGUAGGCCGCCUGUUAAGUGGCGUGUGAAAGCCCACGGCUCAACCGUGGGAGGCCGCGCCAAACUGGUGGGCUUGAGGGUGGCAGAGGGUGAUGGAAUUCCCGGUGUAGCGGUGAAAUGCGUAGAUAUCGGGAGGAACGCCAGUGGCGAAGGCGGUCACCUGGGCCAUCCCUGACGUGAGACGCGAAG
rnacentral:rRNA from 1 species